rnacentral:rRNA from 1 species
AACGUAGGAGACAAACGUUAUCCGGAGUUACUGGGCGUAAAGGGCGUGUAGGCGGUCGACUAAGUCUGGCGUGAAAGCUCGCGGCUAAACCGCGAGAGGUCGUUGGAUACUGGUUGACUAGAGGACGGUAGAGGCGUGUGGAAUUCCGGGUGUAGUGGUGAAAUGCGUAGAGAUCCGGAGGAACACCAGUGGCGAAGGCGACACGCUGGGCCGUACCUGACGCUAAAACGCGACAGCAUGGGGAGCGAACGG